rnacentral:rRNA from 1 species
CGUGGGGCUGCUUACCAUGCAAGUCGAACGGAGAUUCAGCAAUGGAUCUUAGUGGCGAACGGGUGAGUAACGCGUAGGCAAUCUGCCUUCUAGAUGGGGACAACAUCCCGAAAGGGGUGCUAAUACCGAAUGUUGUAAUUGGUUCGCAUGGACUAGCUACUAAAGGUGGCCUCUGAAUAUGCUACCGCUAGAAGAUGAGCCUGCGUCUGAUUAGCUAGUUGGAGGGGUAACGGCCCACCAAGGCUUCGAUCAGUAGCCGGUCUGAGAGGAUGAACGGCCACACUGGGACUGAGACACGGCCCAGACUCCUACGGGAGGCAGCAGUGGGGAAUCUUCCGCAAUGGACGAAAGUCUGACGGAGCAACGCCGCGUGAGUGAAGAAGGUUUUCGGAUCGUAAAGCUCUUUCGUUAGGGACGAACGUGCUCUUUGUGAAUAAUGAGGAGUAAUGACGGUACCUAAAUAAGAAGCCACGGCUAACUACGUGCCAGCAGCCGCGGUAAUACGUAGGUGGCAAGCGUUGUCCGGAAUUAUUGGGCGUAAAGCGCGCGCAGGCGGGAUAUCAAGUCUGUCUUAAAAGUGCGAGGCUCAACCUCGUGAGGGGACGGAAACUGGUAUUCUUGAGUGUCGGAGAGGAAAGUGGAAUUCCAAGUGUAGCGGUGAAAUGCGUAGAGAUUUGGAAGAACACCAGUGGCGAAGGCGACUUUCUGGACGAUGUCUGACGCUGAGGCGCGAAAGCUAGGGGAGCGAACGGGAUUAGAUACCCCGGUAGUCCUAGCCGUAAACGAUGGGUACUAUGUGUAGGGGUAUCGACCCCUCCUG